GCUGUUAUAAACUAGUGAUUAGAGCGUCCGCCUCCGAAUCAGAAGGUCGUGGGUUCGAACCCCGGCCUAAUUACA